GUUGAUUGCCACACCAUUCUGUGAAUGCCCGAUCCUGUCAGAUCUCGUCAGCUAAGCAGGGCAGUGCCUGGUUAAUUAAUACUUAUAUGGGAGACCUCCUUGGAACAACAGGGCUGCUAGACU
rnacentral:rRNA from 12 species